GAUGAACGCUAGCUACAGGCUUAACACAUGCAAGUCGAGGGGCAGCAGGAUCUAGCAAUAGAUUGCUGGCGACCGGCGCACGGGUGAGUAACACGUAUCCAACCUGCCGAUAACUCGGGGAUAGCCUUUCGAAAGAAAGAUUAAUACCCGAUGGUAUAAUCAGACCGCAUGGUCUUGUUAUUAAAGAAUUUCGGUUAUCGAUGGGGAUGCGUUCCAUUAGGCAGUUGGUGAGGUAACGGCUCACCAAACCUUCGAUGGAUAGGGGUUCUGAGAGGAAGGUCCCCCACAUUGGAACUGAGACACGGUCCAAACUCCUACGGGAGGCAGCAGUGAGGAAUAUUGGUCAAUGGGCGAGAGCCUGAACCAGCCAAGUAGCGUGCAGGAUGACGGCCCUCUGGGUUGUAAACUGCUUUUAGUUGGGAAUAAAAAGAGGGACGUGUCCCUUAUUGUAUGUACCAUCAGAAAAAGGACCGGCUAAUUCCGUGCCAGCAGCCGCGGUAAUACGGAAGGUCCAGGCGUUAUCCGGAUUUAUUGGGUUUAAAGGGAGCGCAGGCGGCGGCGUAAGUCAGUUGUGAAAUCGUGCGGCUUAACCGUGCAAUUGCAGUUGAUACUGCGUCGCUUGAGUGCACACAGGGAUGUUGGAAUUCAUGGUGUAGCGGUGAAAUGCUUAGAUAUCAUGAAGAACUCCGAUCGCGAAGGCAGGCAUCCGGGGUACAACUGACGCUGAGGCUCGAAAGUGCGGGUAUCAAACAGG
rnacentral:rRNA from 1 species